GGGGACGAAAGGCUUCGACAGUGGAGCGCGAACCUGAGGUGCAGGUCGAGGUGCCGUUACCUCGUAAAACCGCGGCAGCCUUUUAACAGGCGAACGUGAAUUCGCUCUCGCUGCCUAACUAAGGUAGUGACGUCGCCCACAGGCCUCUCUCCGACGGGCAGUGGUGCGGCGCCGAUUAGCCGGAGUGCUGCGGUCUGACGCCGAUACCGGCCGCCUAAGAUUAUCGGCUCUGUGCGGUGGAACCGUGCCGGCGACGGCCCAACGUACGAGAAUUAAUGCCGGACAUGCCUGUAGUACCUCAGGCAGGCCCUUUACUGGACGGGGAGUUCGACUCUCCCCCGUCUCCACCA
rnacentral:tmRNA from 1 species